AUUGAACGCUGGCGGCAUGCUUUACACAUGCAAGUCGAACGGCAGCACGGGUGCUUGCACCUGGUGGCGAGUGGCGAACGGGUGAGUAAUGCAUCGGAACGUGCCCAUGAGUGGGGGAUAGCCCGGCGAAAGCCGGAUUAAUACCGCAUACGCCCUUAGGGGGGAAAGCGGGGGAUCUUCGGACCUCGCGCUAUUGGAGCGGCCGAUGUCGGAUUAGCUAGUAGGUGAGGUAAAGGCUCACCUAGGCGACGAUCCGUAGCUGGUCUGAGAGGAUGAUCAGCCACACUGGGACUGAGACACGGCCCAGACUCCUACGGGAGGCAGCAGUGGGGAAUUUUGGACAAUGGGCGCAAGCCUGAUCCAGCCAUGCCGCGGGAGUGAAGAAGGCCUCGG
rnacentral:rRNA from 1 species